AGCGAACGCUGGCGGCAGGCUUAACACAUGCAAGUCGAGCGGGCCCUUCGGGGUCAGCGGCGGACGGGUGAGUAACGCGUGGGAACGUGCCUUCUGGUCUGGAAUAACCCUGGGAAACUAGGGCUAAUACCGGAUACGCCCUUUUGGGGAAAGGUUUACUGCCGGAAGAUCGGCCCGCGUCUGAUUAGCUAGUUGGUGGGUUAACGGCCUACCAAGGCGACGAUCAGUAGCUGGUCUGAGAGGAUGAUCAGCCACACUGGGACUGAGACACGGCCCAGACUCCUACGGGAGGCAGCAGUGGGGAAUAUUGGACAAUGGGCGCAAGCCUGAUCCAGCCAUGCCGCGUGAGUGAUGAAGGCCUUAGGGUUGUAAAGCUCUUUUAUCCGGGACGAUAAUGACGGUACCGGAGGAAUAAGCCCUGGCUAACUUCGUG
rnacentral:rRNA from 1 species